UACUGUGAUGGAGGGAACACCCGUGGAGGUGCUUGGCGUCCCCGACGAUAUCCUUGCCUCUGUUAGAAUGGUUGACAAGCUCACGAUACACUUCCAACGACCAGGGAACGGGGGAGGAGAGGUAAAGAGAGUACAGUUUCCAUCCUACAGCCCAGGACAGGCCUUUGUCAUAUUUGAGGAUCCAGAAGUGGCUGCACGUGUGUCGCAGCGGACCCAUGUCUUAGAAGUGGAUGGGCAACACUUUCCUCUUAAAAUCAGGAACGCUGACACGCCUGAGGUGGACGUGCCAGUCAAGGUCGAUCUGGAUGUGAGCAUGUUCUCCAAGGACAGCGAGGAGGUGCUCCAGCCUGUGAACGAGAUUCCCCAGCUACCCAUUCAGGGCUCCUUUCAGAAGUUCAGUGUAGUGAAGGCCCAACUGCAGCAGGUCUUACCCCAGGACACAAACACCCUGCGCCACAGCAGCCCUUCGCCAUCCAAUCUCAAUAGCCAUGCCUCUGGGGCCAUUUCCAAAUCCUCAAUCCGCUGCAACCCAUUUCCCAGCCCGCAAGCAACAGGGUAUGUUGGGGACAACUUGACCCAUGUCAGGAACACAUCCCCCAAACCAGUGGAACCCAUCUCCCAGACCCCAUCUCCCAGUGAGGUCUUCUUCAUAACGGACACAGAUGUGCUCCGUUAUGCCCAGUGCGUCAGGAAAAAGGACAUUGAUUCCAUUCUUGGAGGCCACACAACUCAAAUGGAUGUUAAGCCAGCUGAAGGUUCAGACCUCCACUAUGUUUUCCUUGAAGGGAAGAGUCCAGAGGGGGUUAUGGAAAAGCUGCAGGUUUUUUUCAACAAGCUUCAUUUAAGACUACGAACUCAAGAAAUCCCACUAUGGACACUCGAUCGUGACCGACAGGUUAGAAUUCAUCAACUGGUUCAGAAGUAUAAUAUAAUUUAUCCUACUGUCCUCGUCGAUCAGGUUGGAGAUCUCCUCCGCCUUGUAGGACCUUCCAAGGAAAGUUAUGAGAUGAAGCAGAGGCUCCUGGGAAAACCCAUAGACCUGCUACCAGCUGGGCUAACAGGGAGGGUAGUGGACAGGAGUACCCAUGGUGCUCCCAUCCCAUGGGCUCCUGGCCCCGUACCUGACCCCGUGUCUGCUACUGCACCAGAUUACUAGUAAAUUAACUACAUUUUGCAGUAGCUUGGUGGUAGUGGAACUAAAAUCAAAUCUAGAUAGUGUUUGCAGUAGUUCAUUACUUGUUGUCAUGUAGCAGUGUAGCUAACUACUGGAACUACAUACUACGUUUUACCAUGUAGUGGUGUAGCCAACUACACACUACGUUUUAGCCAUGUAGCCAACUACACACUAUGUUUUAGCCAUGUAGCCAACUACUGGAACUACACACUACGUUUUAGCCAU
rnacentral:lncRNA from 13 species